rnacentral:rRNA from 1 species
UACGUAGGGCGCGAGCGUUAAUCGGAAUUACUGGGCGUAAAGCGUGCGUAGGUGGUUUGUUAAGUCUGUUGUGAAAGCCCCGGGCUCAACCUGGGAAUGGCAAUGGAUACUGGCAGGCUAGAGUGCGGUAGAGGGUAGUGGAAUUCUCGGUGUAGCGGUGAAAUGCGUAGAGAUCGGGAGGAACACCAGUGGCGAAGGCGGCUACCUGGACCAGCACUGACACUGAGGCACGAAAGCGUGGGGAGCAAACAGG